rnacentral:rRNA from 1 species
UACGUAGGGUGCAAGCGUUGUCCGGAAUUAUUGGGCGUAAAGAGCUCGUAGGCGGUUUGUUGCGUCGGCUGUGAAAUCCCGAGGCUCAACCUCGGGUCUGCAGUCGAUACGAGCAAACUAGAGUGUUGCAGGGGAGACUGGAAUUCCUGGUGUAGCGGUGGAAUGCGCAGAUAUCAGGAGGAACACCGGUGGCGAAGGCGGGUCUCUGGGCAGUAACUGACACUGAGGAGCGAAAGCGUGGGGAGCGAACAGG